UACGUAGGUGGCAAGCGUUGUCCGGAUUUACUGGGCGUAAAGGGCUCGUAGGCGGCCAACUAAGUCAGACGUGAAAUCCCCAGGCUUAACCUGGGAACUGCGUCUGAUACUGGAUGGCUUGAAUUCGGGAGAGGGAUGCAGAAUUCCAGGUGUAGCGGUGAAAUGCGUAGAUAUCUGGAGGAAUACCGGUGGCGAAGGCGGCAUCCUGGACCGAGAUUGACGCUGAUGAGCGAAAGCUAGGGGAGCAAACGGG
rnacentral:rRNA from 1 species